rnacentral:rRNA from 1 species
UACGGUGGGGGCAAGCGUUGUUCGGAAUUACUGGGCGUAAAGGGCUCGUAGGCGGCCAACUAAGUCAAACGUGAAAUCCCUCGGCUUAACCGGGGAACUGCGUCUGAUACUGGAUGGCUUGAGUUUGGGAGAGGGAUGCGGAAUUCCAGGUGUAGCGGUGAAGUGCGUAGAUAUCUGGAGGAACACCGGUGGCGAAGGCGGCAUCCUGGACCAACACUGACGCUGAGGAGCGAAAGCCAGGGGAGCAAACGGG